rnacentral:rRNA from 1 species
CAAGGCAACGAUGCAUAGCCGACCUGAGAGGGUGAUCGGCCACACUGGAACUGAGACACGGUCCAGACUCCUACGGGAGGCAGCAGUAGGGAAUCUUCCGCAAUGGGCGAAAGCCUGACGGAGCAACGCCGCGUGAGUGAUGAAGGUCUUCGGAUCGUAAAACUCUGUUAUUAGGGAAGAACAUAUGUGUAAGUAACUGUGCACAUCUUGACGGUACCUAAUCAGAAAGCCACGGCUAACUACGUGCCAGCAGCCGCGGUAAUACGUAGGUGGCAAGCGUUAUCCGGAAUUAUUGGGCGUAAAGCGCGCGUAGGCGGUUUUUUAAGUCUGAUGUGAAAGCCCACGGCUCAACCGUGGAGGGUCA